rnacentral:rRNA from 1 species
GACGAACCGUGCGAACGUUAUUCGGAAUCACUGGGCUUAAAGCGCGUGUAGGCGGGGCAGCACGUCGGCCGCUGAAAUCCCCCGGCUCAACCGGGGAAGUGGCGCCGAUACGACCGACCUGGAGGGGGGUAGGGGGGGCCGGAACUUCCGGUGGAGCGGUGAAAUGCGUUGAGAUCGGAAGGAACGCCCGUGGCGAAAGCGGGCUCCUGGACCCCACCUGACGCUGAGACGCGAAAGCCAGGGGAGCGAACGGG